GAUGAACGCUGGCGGCGUGCCUAAUACAUGCAAGUCGAGCGAACAGACGAGGAGCUUGCUCCUCUGACGUUAGCGGCGGACGGGUGAGUAACACGUGGAUAACCUACCUAUAAGACUGGGAUAUCUUCGGGACACCGGAGCUAAUACCGGAUAAUAUAUUGAACCGCAUGGUUCAAUAGUGAAAGACGGUUUUGCUGUCACUUCUAGAUGGAUCCGCGCCGCAUUAGCUAGUUGGUAAGGUAACGGCUUACCAAGGCAACGAUGCGUAGCCGACCUGAGAGGGUGAUCGGCCACACGGGAACUGGGACACGGUCCAGGCGCCUACGGGAGGCAGCAGUAGGGAAUCUUACGCAAUGGGCGAAAGCCUGACGGAGCAACGCCGCGUGAGUGAUGAAGGUCUUCGGAUCGUAAUACUCUGUUAUUAGGGAAGAACAAAUGUGUAAGUAACUAUGCACUGCUUGACGGUACCUAAUCAGAAAGCCACGGCUAACUACGUG
rnacentral:rRNA from 1 species